rnacentral:rRNA from 1 species
CCGCGCCGCCGGAUAACCGUAGUAAUUCUAGGGCUAAUACGUGCGAAGCGCCCGAAGCCGCGAGGCGACGGGCGUUCUCGCCGGAUGUAGGAACCGACCCGGGGACCGCCGGGGCAACCCGGCGCCCCCGAGACGGGGCGAACCACGGUGAAAUGACGGAUCGUCGGCCCCGCGCCGGCGACUCGCCGAAUGAGUUUCUGACCUAUCAACUCGAGACGGCGGGGUAGAGGCCCGCCGCGGUAACGACGGGUAACGGGGAAUCAGGGUUCGAUUCCGGAGAGGGAGCCCGAGAAACGGCUACCACUUCCAAGGAAGGCAGCAGGCGCGCAACUUACCCUAAUCUCGAUUCGAGGAGGUAGUGACAAGAAAUACCGAUGCGGGACCCUACGGGUGCCGCGUUCGGAAUGAGUACGAUUCGAACCACCUAACGAGGAACGAUCGGAGGGCAAGUCUGGUGCCAGCAGCCGCGGUAA